rnacentral:tRNA from 1 species
GGCUCGUUGGUCUAGGAGAUUCUUGCUUAGCGUGCAAGGGGUCCCGGGUUCAAAUCCCGGACGAGCCC